AUAUCAAUAAGCGGAGGAAAAGAAACCAACAGGGAUUGCCCUAGUAACGGCGAGUGAAGCGGCAACAGCUCAAAUUUGAAAUCUGGCUUCGGCCCGAGUUGUAAUUUGUAGAGGAUGCUUUGGGCGCGGCUCUAACUGAGUUCCCUGGAACGGGACGCCACAGAGGGUGAGAGCCCCGUAUAGUUAGAUGCCUAGCCUAUGUAAAGCUCCUUCGACCGAGUCGAGUAGUUUGUGAAUGCUGCUCUUCAUGUGCAGUAAAAUUCUUCUAAUGCUAAAUAUUAGCUCAGAGGACCGAAAGCGCCCCAGCUAGAGUUGAUCGAAAGAUGAAAAGCACUUGAAGAGAGGGUUACAUAGCACGUGAAAUGUUGAAAGGGAAGCGCUUGUGACCAGACUUGCGCCGGGCAGAUCAUCCGGUGUUCUCACCGGUGCACUCUGCCCGGCUCAGGCCAGCAUCGGUUCUCGUGGGGGGAUAAAGGUCCCGGGAACGUAGCUCCUCCGGGAGUGUUAUAGCCCGGGGCGUAAUGCCCUCGUGGGGACCGAGGUUCGCGCAUCUGCAAGGAUGCUGGCGUAAUGGUCAUCAGCGA
rnacentral:rRNA from 1 species